AGAGUUUGAUCCUGGCUCAGGAUGAACGCCGGCGGUGUGCCUAAUACAUGCAAGUCGAACGCGUUGGCCCAAUUGAUUGAUGGUGCUUGCACCUGAUUGAUUUUGGUUGCCAGCGAGUGGCGGACGGGUGAGUAACACGUAGGUAACCUGCCCAGAAGCGGGGGACAACAUUUGGAAACAGAUGCUAAUACCGCAUAACAGCGUUGUUCGCAUGAACAACGCUUAAAAGAUGGCUUCUCGCUAUCACUUCUGGAUGGACCUGCGGUGCAUUAGCUUGUUGGUGGGGUAACGGCCUACCAAGGCGAUGAUGCAUAGCCGAGUUGAGAGACUGAUCGGCCACAAUGGGACUGAGACACGGCCCAUACUCCUACGGGAGGCAGCAGUAGGGAAUCUUCCACAAUGGGCGCAAGCCUGAUGGAGCAACACCGCGUGAGUGAAGAAGGGUUUCGGCUCGUAAAGCUCUGUUGUUAAAGAAGAACACGUAUGAGAGUAACUGUUCAUACGUUGACGGUAUUUAACCAGAAAGUCACGGCUAACUACGUGCCAGCAGCCGCGGUAAUACGUAGGUGGCAAGCGUUAUCCGGAUUUAUUGGGCGUAAAGAGAGUGCAGGCGGUUUUCUAAGUCUGAUGUGAAAGCCUUCGGCUUAACCGGAGAAGUGCAUCGGAAACUGGAUAACUUGAGUGCAGAAGAGGGUAGUGGAACUCCAUGUGUAGCGGUGGAAUGCGUAGAUAUAUGGAAGAACACCAGUGGCGAAGGCGGCUACCUGGUCUGCAACUGACGCUGAGACUCGAAAGCAUGGGUAGCGAACAGGAUUAGAUACCCUGGUAGUCCAUGCCGUAAACGAUGAGUGCUAGGUGUUGGAGGGUUUCCGCCCUUCAGUGCCGGAGCUAACGCAUUAAGCACUCCGCCUGGGGAGUACGACCGCAAGGUUGAAACUCAAAGGAAUUGACGGGGGCCCGCACAAGCGGUGGAGCAUGUGGUUUAAUUCGAAGCUACGCGAAGAACCUUACCAGGUCUUAACAUCUUGCGCCAACCCUAGAGAUAGGGCGUUUCCUUCGGGAACGCAAUGACAGGUGGUGCAUGGUCGUCGUCAGCUCGUGUCGUGAGAUGUUGGGUUAAGUCCCGCAACGAGCGCAACCCUUGUUACUAGUUGCCAGCAUUAAGUUGGGCACUCUAGUGAGACUGCCGGUGACAAACCGGAGGAAGGUGGGGACGACGUCAGAUCAUCAUGCCCCUUAUGACCUGGGCUACACACGUGCUACAAUGGACGGUACAACGAGUCGCGAACUCGCGAGGGCAAGCAAAUCUCUUAAAACCGUUCUCAGUUCGGACUGCAGGCUGCAACUCGCCUGCACGAAGUCGGAAUCGCUAGUAAUCGCGGAUCAGCAUGCCGCGGUGAAUACGUUCCCGGGCCUUGUACACACCGCCCGUCACACCAUGAGAGUUUGUAACACCCAAAGUCGGUGGGGUAACCUUUUAGGAGCCAGCCGCCUAAGGUGGGACAGAUGAUUAGGGUGAAGUCGUAACAAGGUAACCA
rnacentral:rRNA from 2 species